rnacentral:rRNA from 1 species
GAUGAACGCUGGCGGCGUGCCUAAUACAUGCAAGUCGAACGAACAGACGAGGCGCUUGCUCCUCGGACGUUAGCGGCGGACGUGUGAGUAACACGUGGAUAACCUACCUAUAAGACUGGGAUCACUUCGAAAAACCGGAGCUAAUAGCGGAUAAGAUAUUGAACCGCAUGGUUCAAUAGUGAAAGACGGUGUUGCUGGCACUUAUAGAGGGAUCCGCGCCGUAUGAGCUAGUUGGUAAGUUAACGGCUUACCAAGGCAACGAGGCGUAGCCGACCUGAGAGGCGGAUCGGCCACACGGGAACUGAGCCACGGACAAGAGUCCUACGGGAGGCAGCAGACGGGAACGUGAGGCAAUGGGCGAAAGCCUGACGGAGCAACGCGGAGCGAGUGACGAAGGCGUUCGGAGCGUAAAACCCUGUUAGGAGGGAAGAACAAAUGUGGAAGUAAAUAUGGACUUAUUGACGGUACCUAAUCAGAAAGCCACGGCUAACUACGUG